GGGUUGUGAGGUUAAGCGACUAAGCGUACACGGUGGAUGCCCUGGCAGUCAGAGGCGAUGAAGGACGUGCUAAUCUGCGAUAAGCGUCGGUGAGGUGAUAUGAACCGUUAUAACCGGCGAUUUCCGAAUGGGGAAACCCAGUGUGUUUCGACACACUAUCAUUAACUGAAUCCAUAGGUUAAUGAGGCGAACCGGGGGAACUGAAACAUCUAAGUACCCCGAGGAAAAGAAAUCAACCGAGAUUCCCCCAGUAGCGGCGAGCGAACGGGGAGGAGCCCAGAGCCUGAAUCAGUGUGUGUGUUAGUGGAAGCGUCUGGAAAGGCGCGCGAUACAGGGUGACAGCCCCGUACACAAAAAUANCACAUAUUGUGAGCUCGAUGAGUAGGGCGGGACACGUGGUAUCCUGUCUGAAUAUGGGGGGACCAUCCUCCAAGGCUAAAUACUCCUGACUGACCGAUAGUGAACCAGUACCGUGAGGGAAAGGCGAAAAGAACCCCGGCGAGGGGAGUGAAAAAGAACCUGAAACCGUGUACGUACAAGCAGUGGGAGCCUCUUUAUGGGGUGACUGCGUACCUUUUGUAUAAUGGGUCAGCGACUUAUAUUCUGUAGCAAGGUUAACCGAAUAGGGGAGCCGAAGGGAAACCGAGUCUUAACUGGGCGUUAAGUUGCAGGGUAUAGACCCGAAACCCGGUGAUCUAGCCAUGGGCAGGUUGAAGGUUGGGUAACACUAACUGGAGGACCGAACCGACUAAUGUUGAAAAAUUAGCGGAUGACUUGUGGCUGGGGGUGAAAGGCCAAUCAAACCGGGAGAUAGCUGGUUCUCCCCGAAAGCUAUUUAGGUAGCGCCUCGUGAAUUCAUCUCCGGGGGUAGAGCACUGUUUCGGCAAGGGGGUCAUCCCGACUUACCAACCCGAUGCAAACUGCGAAUACCGGAGAAUGUUAUCACGGGAGACACACGGCGGGUGCUAACGUCCGUCGUGAAGAGGGAAACAACCCAGACCGCCAGCUAAGGUCCCAAAGUCAUGGUUAAGUGGGAAACGAUGUGGGAAGGCCCAGACAGCCAGGAUGUUGGCUUAGAAGCAGCCAUCAUUUAAAGAAAGCGUAAUAGCUCACUGGUCGAGUCGGCCUGCGCGGAAGAUGUAACGGGGCUAAACCAUGCACCGAAGCUGCGGCAGCGACACUAUGUGUUGUUGGGUAGGGGAGCGUUCUGUAAGCCUGUGAAGGUGGCCUGUGAGGGUUGCUGGAGGUAUCAGAAGUGCGAAUGCUGACAUAAGUAACGAUAAAGCGGGUGAAAAGCCCGCUCGCCGGAAGACCAAGGGUUCCUGUCCAACGUUAAUCGGGGCAGGGUGAGUCGACCCCUAAGGCGAGGCCGAAAGGCGUAGUCGAUGGGAAACAGGUUAAUAUUCCUGUACUUGGUGUUACUGCGAAGGGGGGACGGAGAAGGCUAUGUUGGCCGGGCGACGGUUGUCCCGGUUUAAGCGUGUAGGCUGGUUUUCCAGGCAAAUCCGGAAAACCAAGGCUGAGGCGUGAUGACGAGGCACUACGGUGCUGAAGCGACAAAUGCCCUGCUUCCAGGAAAAGCCUCUAAGCAUCAGGUAACAUCAAAUCGUACCCCAAACCGACACAGGUGGUCAGGUAGAGAAUACCAAGGCGCUUGAGAGAACUCGGGUGAAGGAACUAGGCAAAAUGGUGCCGUAACUUCGGGAGAAGGCACGCUGAUAUGUAGGUGAAGCGACUUGCUCGUGGAGCUGAAAUCAGUCGAAGAUACCAGCUGGCUGCAACUGUUUAUUAAAAACACAGCACUGUGCAAACACGAAAGUGGACGUAUACGGUGUGACGCCUGCCCGGUGCCGGAAGGUUAAUUGAUGGGGUUAGCGGUAACGCGAAGCUCUUGAUCGAAGCCCCGGUAAACGGCGGCCGUAACUAUAACGGUCCUAAGGUAGCGAAAUUCCUUGUCGGGUAAGUUCCGACCUGCACGAAUGGCGUAAUGAUGGCCAGGCUGUCUCCACCCGAGACUCAGUGAAAUUGAACUCGCUGUGAAGAUGCAGUGUACCCGCGGCAAGACGGAAAGACCCCGUGAACCUUUACUAUAGCUUGACACUGAACAUUGAGCCUUGAUGUGUAGGAUAGGUGGGAGGCUUUGAAGUGUGGACGCCAGUCUGCAUGGAGCCGACCUUGAAAUACCACCCUUUAAUGUUUGAUGUUCUAACGUUGGCCCGUAAUCCGGGUUGCGGACAGUGUCUGGUGGGUAGUUUGACUGGGGCGGUCUCCUCCUAAAGAGUAACGGAGGAGCACGAAGGUUGGCUAAUCCUGGUCGGACAUCAGGAGGUUAGUGCAAUGGCAUAAGCCAGCUUGACUGCGAGCGUGACGGCGCGAGCAGGUGCGAAAGCAGGUCAUAGUGAUCCGGUGGUUCUGAAUGGAAGGGCCAUCGCUCAACGGAUAAAAGGUACUCCGGGGAUAACAGGCUGAUACCGCCCAAGAGUUCAUAUCGACGGCGGUGUUUGGCACCUCGAUGUCGGCUCAUCACAUCCUGGGGCUGAAGUAGGUCCCAAGGGUAUGGCUGUUCGCCAUUUAAAGUGGUACGCGAGCUGGGUUUAGAACGUCGUGAGACAGUUCGGUCCCUAUCUGCCGUGGGCGCUGGAGAACUGAGGGGGGCUGCUCCUAGUACGAGAGGACCGGAGUGGACGCAUCACUGGUGUUCGGGUUGUCAUGCCAAUGGCACUGCCCGGUAGCUAAAUGCGGAAGAGAUAAGUGCUGAAAGCAUCUAAGCACGAAACUUGCCCCGAGAUGAGUUCUCCCUGACUCCUUGAGAGUCCUGAAGGAACGUUGAAGACGACGACGUUGAUAGGCCGGGUGUGUAAGCGCAGCGAUGCGUUGAGCUAACCGGUACUAAUGAACCGUGAGGCUUAACCUUACAACGCCGAAG
rnacentral:rRNA from 1 species